rnacentral:rRNA from 1 species
UACGUAGGGGGGCUAGCGUUGUCCGGAUUUAUUGGGCGUAAAGAGCGUGUAGGCGGCCAGAUAGGUCUGCUGUGAAAACUCGAGGCUCAACCUCGAGAUGUCGGCGGAAACCAUUUGGCUAGAGUCCGGAAGAGGAAAGUGGAAUUCCUGGUGUAGCGGUGAAAUGCGUAGAUAUCAGGAGGAACACCGGUGGCGAAGGCGGGUCUCUGGGCCGAUACUGACGCUGAGGAGCGAAAGCGUGGGGGAGCGAACAGG